CCACCACAUGCAAUCAGAUUACAAAAUCCCAAAGAAAUAAAAGUAAAUUAAAGAAAAUUCCACCACAGCUCGUCGGAGAGCAAAAAUCAACCCCCAUUUAUACGCUUCGCCGCCGUCUCCGCCGCAGCUGGUCAAGUAAGAUCACUCAAACAUUCUUUCUUGCACAAUUAUUCCACACAUAUCUUAGCAUUCACUCAAAACUCUUAAUAGAUAUGGGAGAAUUUGAUUGAAAGGGGACGAAAUAUACUGGGCAAGAAUUCAAGAAAUUGU
rnacentral:lncRNA from 1 species